GGUAGGCCUGGUGGCGCAGACCUGUAAUCCUAGCUACUGGGAAACUGAGGCAGGAAGGUCACAAGGUCAAGGUCAGUCUCAGCUAUUUAGGGAGACCCUGCCUCAA
rnacentral:sRNA from 1 species